rnacentral:rRNA from 1 species
ACGAAGAGUUUGAUCCUGGCUCAGGAUGAACGCUAGCGGCAAGCUUUAUACAUGCAAGUCGAGGGGCAGCAUAGAUUGCUUGCAAUCUGAUGGCGACCGGCGAACGGGUGCGUAACGCGUAUGCAACUUACCUUUUACUAGGAGAUAGCCAAGAGAAAUUUUGAUUAAUAUCCUAUACAAUUAUUUUAUCGCAUGAUAAAAUAAUAAAAGCUCAGGCGGUAAAAGAUAGGCAUGCGUCCUAUUAGCAAGUAGGUGAGGUAACGGCUCACCUAUGCUACGAUAGGUAGGGGUCCUGAGAGGGAGAUCCCCCACACUGGUACUGAGACACGGACCAGACUUCUACGGAAGGCAGCAGUAAGGAAUAUUGGACAAUGGAGGCAACUCUGAUCCAGCUAUGCCGCGUGCAGGAAGACGGCCCUAUGGGUUGUAAACUGCUUUUAUACAGGAAGAAACCUGCUCACUUGUGAGCAGCUGACGGUACUGUAAGAAUAAGGAUCGGCUAACUCCGUGCCAGCAGCCGCGGUAAUACGGAGGAUCCAAGCGUUAUCCGGAAUUAUUGGGUUUAAAGGGUCCGCAGGCUGUUUGUUAAGUCAGAGGUGAAAUCCUACCGCUCAACGGUAGAACUGCCUUAGAUACUGACAAACUUGAGUUAUUGUGAAGUAAUUAGAAUGUGUAGUGUAGCGGUGAAAUGCAUAGAUAUUACACAGAAUACCGAUUGCGAAAGCAGAUUACUAACAAUAUACUGACGCUGAGGGACGAAAGCGUAGGUAGCGAACAGGAUUAGAUACCCUGGUAGUCUACGCCGUAAACGAUGGUCACUAGCUGUUCGAUAUACAUUGGUAUGUUGAGUGGCUAAGCGAAAGUGAUAAGUGACCCACCUGGGGAGUACGCUCGCAAGAGUGAAACUCAAAGGAAUUGACGGGGGCCCGCACAAGCGGUGGAGCAUGUGGUUUAAUUCGAUGAUACGCGAGGAACCUUACCAGGACUUAAAUGUAAGUUGCAUGAUUCAGAAAUGAAUCUUUCUUCGGACUACUUACAAGGUGCUGCAUGGUUGUCGUCAGCUCGUGCCGUGAGGUGUCAGGUUAAGUCCUAUAACGAGCGCAACCCCUAUCGUUAGUUGCCAGCAAGUAAAGUUGGGAACUCUAGCGAAACUGCCGGUGCAAACCGUGAGGAAGGUGGGGAUGACGUCAAAUCAUCACGGCCCUUACGUUCUGGGCUACACACGUGCUACAAUGGCCGGUACAGAAAGCAGCCACUUUGCGAAAAGGAGCUAAUCUUCAAAGCCGGUCUCAGUUCGGAUCGCAGUCUGCAACUCGACUGCGUGAAGCUGGAAUCGCUAGUAAUCGGAUAUCAGCCAUGAUCCGGUGAAUACGUUCCCGGGCCUUGUACACACCGCCCGUCAAGCCAUGGAAGCUGGGGGUACCUAAAGUCGGUGACCGAAAGGAGCUGCCUAGGGUAAAACUAGUAACUGGGGCUAAGUCGUAACAAGGUAGCCGUACCGGAAGGUGCGGCUGGAAUACCUCCUU